rnacentral:lncRNA from 1 species
UUGACCCGUGUAGGUUUGUCGUCGGCGUCGUCGUGCUCUUCGCCGGAGACCCAUCGGAAAGCGAUUCCGGUGAGUUUACCUCACUAAUCCGCGAUUAGCGAGUUAAUGAUGCCCUAAGUAUGUUUAGUUUAAGUUGAUUGAGAUUAGGUGGAUGGGUUGGCUUAAUUAGUUGUGGAUUAUAUUAAGGUGAUUGUUUAAGGUAAAUGAUGUUUAGUUUAAUGGUUAAGUAUGUUUAUUUUUAAAAUAAACCUUGAUGUGACUUAAAGGAGUUUAUUUAUGAUUUAAAUAAAUACUUCGAAAUUGAUGGAUUAUUUAAUAAUAUAUCUUAUUCCGUAAUUCAUUAAAAUAUUAUUUUAUAAAAAAAAAAAAAAACUCGAAAAAUUUAUUUUGACCCUAGUUGCUCAGAAUUUCGUGCCGAUCGUUGCUGUGCUAGUAGAAUUUGAAAUUGACGAUUGGUUGUGAUGAAUUGAGUGUGAUUGUGAUUUAUAGGGAUUCUUUAUGAAAUCCUAAGCGUAGAAAUUGAUGAGAGAUUGGCUGUGAAAUACCACCUAUUAGAGGUUGUGCCUAGAGAGGCCGUGAUAAACCACCUAUGAAAGGUCGUGCCCAGAGAGGCCGUGAUAAACCACCUAUGAAAGGUCGUGCCCAGAGAGGCCGUGAUAAACCACCUAUUAGAGGUCGUGCCCGAUGAGGCCGUGAUAUGCUUAGAGGUCGCGCCCAAUGGGGCCGUGAAUUGCCACCUGGUAGAGGUCGCGCCGAGUGGGGCCGUGAUGCCACUGAUUUAAAUUUGCCGAGUAGGGCCGUAGUUGAGAGCAAUGAUUGAUUUGCUAGAAUGACAUGAAAUCGGCCGAGUCGAUUGAUCGCUGAGACGAUCCAAGUGGUUGAAUUGUUUUGAUGAUGUGAUUGUACCAUGGUUGGUUGGUUAUCAUAAUCGUACGUGGUUGAAUUAUAUAAAUUGUGCUAACCUGCAGAUGAGGGCUAAGCCGAGGUAAGUCUUCUAUGUGUUGUGGCUAAGCUACUUCGGGGUGUAUUUAUUUUCUAAUAGGGGUUUAGGAGGGGUGAACUUGCUGAGACAAAGUCUCAUCCCAGUUUGGGGAAAAACAUUACAGGACCGUAGAUGGCGAUAUCCCGGAGGUGGAUGGCAUGCUGACGGAGGUGGACCAGACGCUAGAGAGUGCUCUUGACCCCUUUUUGAUGCACAUAAACCCUGACCCAUUUUUGAUGCAUAGUCUCUGGAUCCCGUUGAUGUUCGUAAACCUUGUAAUGAUGAUGAUGUUUGGAAGUAUGUUGUUUGAUUUUGAAUUGAUUCUUCCUGCUGUUCCUAUCCCGUAUGCUUUUGUACGGGGUUCUCUUAGUACGUUCCGCUUGCGCAUUAAAAAGUAAAUUGGGGUCGGCGACACUACCUGGGAUUGUCGCAUUUCCAUGACCAUGGCGGGUUGUUCACGUGUCUCGGGGUUCGGGGCGUGACAA